UCGUUUCGAUAUUGAGGCGUCAGACUUGGGACUGACGGGGAGUAUUACCCGAUGCCACCCUGAAAUGGGUGACAAUCGAACUCCUGUAAAAACUCAACACAGAUUAGCUCUGCUACACAAUAUCAAACG
rnacentral:ncRNA from 1 species